CCUACGGGAGGCAGCAGUGGGGAAUAUUGCGCAAUGGGCGAAAGCCUGACGCAGCGACGCCGCGUGAGGGAUGAAGGUCUUCGGAUCGUAAACCUCUGUCAGCAGGGAAGAACGGUCACUGUGCUAAUCAGCAGUGAAUUGACGGUACCUGCAAAGGAAGCACCGGCUAACUCCGUGCCAGCAGCCACGGUAAUACGGAGGGUGCGAUCGUUAAUCGGAAUUACUGGGCGUAAGGCGCUCGUAGGCGGUAUGUCAAGUCAAGGGUGAAAUCCCCGCGCUAAACGUGGGAACUGCCUUUGAAACUGGCAAACUGGAGUGUGGAAGAGGAUAGUGGAAUUCCAGGUGUAGGAGUGAAAUCCGUAGAUAUC
rnacentral:rRNA from 1 species